rnacentral:siRNA from 1 species
AUCACAUGCCAAGUUUGGCCUCA